CUGUGUCUUGCUUCAACAGUGUUUGGACGGAACUG
rfam:Pan troglodytes isolate Yerkes chimp pedigree #C0471 (Clint) chromosome 1, whole genome shotgun sequence.